rnacentral:rRNA from 1 species
GACGAACGCUGGCGGCGUGCUUAACACAUGCAAGUCGAACGGAAAGGCCCUGCUUUUGUGGGGUUCUCGAGUGGCGAACGGGUGAGUAACACGUGAGUAACCUGCCCUUGACUUUGGGAUAACUUCAGGAAACUGGGGCUAAUACCGGAUAGGAGCUCCUGCUGCAUGGUGGGGGUUGGAAAGUUUCGGCGGGUGGGGAUGGACUCGCGGCUUAUCAGCUUGUUGGUGGGGUAGUGGCUUACCAAGGCUUUGACGGGUAGCCGGCCUGAGAGGGUGACCGGCCACAUUGGGACUGAGAUACGGCCCAGACUCCUACGGGAGGCAGCAGUGGGGAAUAUUGCACAAUGGGCGGAAGCCUGAUGCAGCAACGCCGCGUGCGGGAUGACGGCCUUCGGGUUGUAAACCGCUUUCGCCUGUGACGAAGCGUGAGUGACGGUAAUGGGUAAAGAAGCACCGGCUAACUACGUG